UGCGUAGGCGGACUAAUAAGUCAGUGGUGAAAUCUUUCGGCUCAACCGGGAAACUGCCAUUGAUACUGUUAGUCUUGAGUUCGGUUGAGGUAGGCGGAAUGUGUAAUGUAGCGGUGAAACGCUUAGAUAUUACACAGAACACCAAUUGCGUAGGCAGCUUACUAGACCGAGACCGACGCUGAGGCACGAAAGCGUGGGUAGCGAACAGGAUUAGAUACCCUGGUAGUCC
rnacentral:rRNA from 1 species